GAGCCCAAUCCAACAUCCGCAUUCCAUCAUCCAUCGUCCUCAUCAAAUUUCAGCAAAAGAAGAGAGAAAGAGAGGGGAAGAGAGAAUCGCAGUGAAACCACAGAAUGGAUAGGGAGGAUAGAUCCAGCCGAAGAGGCAGAGACGAACGCGAGAGAGAUAGAGAUAGAGAUUCAACCAAAGAUCACAGAGACAGAGACCACCACAAGCAUCGAACCACCAAAGACAAAUCUAGAGCCGCCGCCGAUGAAGAUCGUCACAAGCACCGUUCCAAGCAUCGCCAAGUUGCCGACGACGACGACGACGAUCACCGGAGAUCCAGAGAGUACUCUCCCGACCGCGAGAGAUCGCACGAACCGAGGACUGAGAGAGAAGGUAGCAGAGAUAGGGCUCACGAUCGUCGCGAGAAGAACGAGAAAUCGCACGAGAUGAGGAGUGAGAGAGAAGGUAGCAGAGACAGGGCUCACGAUCGUCGCGAGAAGCGCGAUAGGUCGUACGAGCCGAGGAGUGAGAGAGAGGGAAGCAGAGAUAGGGUUUACAAGCGCGAGAAGUCGAAUGAUAGAGAAGAUAUUAGGGAUAGGGUUUUGAGGGAGGACUCGGUGGAGAGGAGGCAUUCGUCGCAUUCGCAUAAAAGGAAAGAGAGAGGUGGGAGUGAGGAUCAGUUCGAUGGAACUGAUAAGAGAAUUAGGGUUUCGGAUGGGAUGAAGGAGGAGAGGAAAGAGAGGAGGCGGUUCGAAGACAGGGUUGAGGACGGAGCGAAGGAACGGAAUGGCGGUGAGAGGGUAGAGAAGAACAGGGAGAGUCGGAGAUAUGACGACGGAGUGAAGGAUAGUGACUCUAGAGAUGUGGAGAUGAGUCGUAGGGAGGAGAAGAGAGAGAGGAGGAAAUUCGAGGAUAGAGUGAAGAAAGAAGAGAUAGAUGCCGAGGACAGUAACAAAAGGAUUUUUGAUGAAAAUAUUGUGAAGAAAGAAUCCAAAGAUGAGCUGUUCGCUAUUGAUCAAUUAUCAAACGGGGGUGGUUCAAUUGGAAAUGGUGCUGCUUUGGAACCACUCAAUAUGGCAUCAAGGACUCUGACUGAGAACUCUCUGGUCCCUAGCCAUCCCCCUCCUACCAAGGUAUCUUCGAUUUAUACCACAAAUGAAAAUAAGGGAGUUAGUAUUACCAGAUCUCAUGAGGUUCCUGGAAAAUCCAGUACAGAUGGGACAUCUUCAGCUGCAGGCAAAAGUGGAAGUUUCUCUCUUGACGCAUUAGCUAAAGCUAAGAAAGCACUCCAAAUGCAAAAGGAGUUGUCUGAGAAGCUCAAGAAGAUCCCACAGUUGAACAAGGGUGCUAGCACAAGUUCAGAAACCUCGCAGUUGGGGUUGAAGGAUGGCUUUAAAGCCCCAUCUUCCAGUUCAGGAAUACUUCCUGCCCCCGUCUCUUCAGUAGCUACUGCUACUAUUCAUGCUGGUGCAACACAAAGUGCAUCAAGUGUACCAGCUGGUGUUUCAGCUUCCGUAAUGCCACCUACUGGUGACAUGGUUCCUCAAGCUGGCCUUACAGCACCCAACUUUGAAGCUGUAAAACGAGCACAGGAGCUUGCUGCCAAGAUGGGAUUUCGGCAGGACCCACAAUUUGCUCCACUUAUAAACAUGUUUCCAGGACAAAUGCCACCAGAGGUUACCAUCCAGCCUAAGCCUGCCAAGGCCCCUGUUCUUCGUUUGGAUGCACUUGGUAGGGAAAUAGAUGAGGAAGGAAAUGUGGUAAAUACAACUAAAGUAAACACGCUGAGCACCCUAAAGGUCAACAUUAACAAGCAGAAAAAAGAAGCGUUCCAAAUUCUGAAACCUGAAUUGGAUGUGGAUCCAGAAAAACAUCCUCAUUAUGAUGCAAGGAUGGGUAUCGAUAAAAAUAAGCUUUUGAGGCCCAAAAGGAUGAGUUUUCAGUUUGUAGAGGAAGGCAAAUGGGCAAGAGAGGCAGAGAUAAUAAAGUUAAAAAGUCAAUUUGGAGAAGCACAAGCCAAAGAACUAAAGGCAAAGCAAGCACAGCUGGCAAAGGCAAAGGCAGAACCUGAUAUAAAUCCAAACUUGAUAGAGGUAUCGGUGAGAGUUAUCCCCGCCAAAGAAAAACCAAAGGAUCCAAUUCCUGAAAUUGAGUGGUGGGAUGUGCCACUUCUGCAUUCUGGUACUUAUGGUGAUAUUAAUGAUGGCAACAUAGCUGAAGAUAAAUUGAAGAUGGAUAGGAUUACUAUCUAUGUGGAACAUCCUCAACCCAGAGAGCCUCCAGCUGAACCAGCUCCACCUCCGCCUCAACCCCUGAAGCUGACCAAGAAGGAACAGAAGAAACUCCGCACACAACGGCGCCUGGCUAGGGAAAAGGAUAGGCAGGAGAUGAUCAGACAGGGCUUGAUAGAACCCCCGAAGCCUAAAGUUAAAAUGAGCAAUCUCAUGAAAGUUCUUGGCUCUGAAGCAACCCAAGAUCCCACCAGGCUUGAAAUGGAAAUAAGGAGCGCUGCUGCUGAGCGUGAACAAGCGCACGUGGACAGGAAUAUUGCACGUAAACUCACUCCUGCCGAACGUCGUGAAAAGAAGGAGAGGAAGCUUUUUGAUGACCCAAAUACAGUGGAGAACAUAGUUUCAGUAUAUAAGAUCAAUAGCCUUUCACACCCCCAAACCCGCUUUAAGGUUGACGUUAAUGCCCAGGAGAACCGGUUGACAGGAUGUGCUGUGAUUUCAGAAGGUAUUAGUGUUGUAGUUGUCGAGGGUGGAAACAAAUCCAUCAAGAGGUAUGGGAAGCUUAUGCUGAAACGUAUAAAUUGGGCUGCUGCUGUGGAAAAUGAAGAUGAAGAUGGAGAUGAAGAUGAGGACAAACCUAUCAACAAGUGUAUGCUGGUCUGGCAAGGGAGUGUCGCGAAACCAAGCUUCAACAGGUUUCAUGUUCACGAGUGCAGGACUGAAGCUGCUGCCCGUAAAGUUUUUUCUGAUGCUGGGGUUGCUCACUAUUGGGAACUUGCUGUUAACUUCACGGACGAGGACUAGAUAUAAUAAUCGGUGAAGCUGUUGACGGAAUCUCUCUCCAAACUUUUAUGGACCAUUGUUUGUGUUGAGCUGCUUCGCUUGCAUGGUCUUGGUUGGUGCAUUUAUCACAGUGAAGAAAAUGGCGCCUUUUGUACUCGGAUCUUGUGGUAAAAAUGGAAGAAUACUUGGCUAGGGUCUGUCUAUCGAUUUCCAUAGAGAAUAACUUGGAUGCAUGCAAGAUUCUGAAAUAUUUAUUUGAUUUCAGUAGCAGUGAAGAAAAUGGCGCUUUCUGUACUCGGAUCUUAUGGUAAAAAUGGAAGAACAGAAAUGUCAGCACAUACAUGUAUAUUUUGUACUCGGAAAUUUGUUUGGUUCAAAUAUCUCCACAACGUUUUUUGCAAGCCUCUUGUUGAUAAUAAAUGAGAUAGACAUUGGUGAA